CUUGAGUUCUGUCUCUAGAGUUGCCUGCACUUCUGAACCUGCAAGCCCUGGUCCCCUCUGCAGGGCCAGGACUUCUCUCAGGUGCCCUGAGUUAAAGAGGGCACUUGAGGGGGCCCAGCAGGUCCAGCACAGUGGCUUGUGCCCCAGUGGGGAAGCAGAGGUCAUGUGGGCUCUGACCCUGUCACCCGGGAAGUCCCAGAGCCACCUUCUCCCCUUUCCUCAUAGGCGUCUCCCGAACUCCGAUUUGGCCGACAAUGGAUACCUUGAUUCCCUGCUGACCCCAAAGCCACGUGGUACCUUCCCUGGCACUGAGGAGCGGGGGUGAGAACGGCAGCCGAUGCCACCCGUGCUGGGUACCAUCCAAGGCCUCUUCCUGAAGUCAGACCCCUGAAGCUCAGAGGGUGACCCUACAGGGAGGUCCCACCUUUGUCCAGAUGAAGCCACUGAGGCAAGAGAGGUUAAGCACUCUGCCAAGGUCACAUCGCCACAUGCAGAAGAAGCGUGGAGCCCGAGGUCCCCCCACCUGCUGGGCAGCAGCGGCUCCCACCUGCCUGGAGUCCCAGCUCUCCUUCGGGGAACCCUGCCGUGGCUGACCAUGUGCGUGGGUGGAGCCAACCACCAACCUGGCUCCACUCUUUUUUUUUUUUUUUAAAGAAUUUUUUUUUAAUAUUUAUUUUUUAGCUUUCGGCGGACACAACAUCUUUGUUUGUAUGUGGUGCUGAGGAUCGAACCCGGGCCUCACGCAUGCCAGGCGAGCGCGCUACCGCUUGAGCCACAUCCCCAGCCCCCUGGCUCCACUCUUGAUGACAUCACCAGCCCUGGCCCACCGAAGCAGCAAAUUGUCCUGGCCAUGGUGACUAAUUCAAAGGUGAUCCCAGCUGUAUCUUUGUGAAGCUGCCUUGAGACCUUUAUUGGAAUCAAUAAGGAGAAAGGUAGUUUCCCAGAGUGGCCAGAAGAGCAAGAGUCCCCUAGAUGAGAGCUGCCAAGUCUAACCUUGUCAUCGGCUUGAAAAGGAACGCAGCACAGGGCGAAUCUGAGGAGCAACAAAGGACCAGUGACGUUAUUUAAGCUCCUGGAUCAAGCUGUGCCUGAAAUACCCCUGGACUUUUCAACUACAUGAACUAAUACAUCCUGCUCCCUGCCUUGCAUUUUUUGGCUCAGGCUAGUUGAACACUAAUAGGAACAGGAGUUCAAGCACGAGUUGUGGUGAAGGUCAUGGCCACAGCCCACCCCCUGAUUAUUAUUUGUUAACUCUUGUUGUGUAACAGCUUUAUGGAGAUAUAAUUCCUGUUGGUAAAGAAGGCGCCCAGACUGCUUCUCUUCCAGGAGCUCAGGUCCAUGAUGCACUGAAUGGCGCACGAACCGUCACCUCCAAUCCCUGUGAAUGGCGCGAACUUUGAAUGGCGCACCUCCAAUCCCUGAAGUGGCUCAACUCUCACCAAUGAAGAAGUAACAGCUCACUCGCCUUGCUCCUCCUCAUCCUGUGUUAAGCCCAUAAGUAUCAAUAACUUGUUCGUGUUCGUUCUCUUACUCUCUCUCCUCCCCUCCCUCUCCUCCCUCUUCCUCUUUCCCUCCCCCUCUCCCCCCUCCCCCCU
rnacentral:lncRNA from 1 species